GAUGAACGCUGACAGAAUGCUUAACACAUGCAAGUCUUUGGUGAAGCUGUGCUUGCACAGCCUAGCCAAGGCGGACGGGUGAGUAACGCGUAAGGAACUUGCCCUGCAGUCAGGGAUAACAGACGGAAACGACUGAUAAGACCUGGUAAAGUCAGGCGGACUCAUGUCCAGCCUGAUGAAAAGAGAUGCUGCAGGAGAGCCUUGCGUCCUAUUAGCUUGUUGGUGGGGUAACGGCCCACCAAGGCGAUGAUAGGUAGCCGGCCUGAGAGGGUGGACGGCCACAAGGGGACUGAGAUACGGCCCUUACUCCUACGGGAGGCAGCAGUGGGGAAUAUUGGACAAUGGGGGCAACCCUGAUCCAGCAAUUCUGUGUGCACGAUGAAGGUUUUCGGAUUGUAAAGUGCUUUCAGCAGGGAAGAAAAAAAUGACGGUACCUGCAGAAGAAGCGACGGCUAAAUACGUG
rnacentral:rRNA from 1 species